UACGAAGGGGGCUAGCGUUGCUCGGAAUUACUGGGCGUAAAGGGCGCGUAGGCGGACAGCUUAGUCAGAGGUAAAAGCCCAGGGCUCAACCUUGGAACUGCCUUUGAUACUGGCUGUCUUGAGUUCGGGAGAGGUGAGUGGAAUGCCGAGUGUAGAGGUGAAAUUCGUAGAUAUCGAGAGGAACACCGGUGGCGAAGGCGGCCAACUGGACGAAUACUGACGCUGAGACUCGAAAGCGUGGGGAGCAAACAGG
rnacentral:rRNA from 1 species